rnacentral:rRNA from 1 species
GUAGGGUGCAAGCGUUAAUCGGAAUUACUGGGCGUAAAGCGUGCGCAGGCGGUUUUGUAAGUCUGAUGUGAAAUCCCCGGGCUCAACCUGGGAAUUGCAUUGGAGACUGCAAGGCUAGAAUCUGGCAGAGGGGGGUAGAAUUCCACGUGUAGCAGUGAAAUGCGUAGAUAUGUGGAGGAAUACCGAUGGCGAAGGCAGCCCCCUGGGUCAAGAUUGACGCUCAUGCACGAAAGCGUGGGGGGAGCAAACAGGAUUAGAUACCCUGGUAGUCCACGCCCCUAAACGAUGUCUACUAGUUGUCGGGUCUUAAUUGACUUGGUAACGCAGCUAACGCGUGAAGUAGACCGCCUGGGAGUACGGUCGCAAGAUUA